rnacentral:misc_RNA from 1 species
UGGUUCUGGCAUCGAUGAAGAACGCAGCGAAAUGCGAUAAGUAAUGUGAAUUGCAGAAUUCAGUGAAUCAUCGAAUCUUUGAACGCACAUUGCGCCCGCCAGCACUCUGGCGGGCAUGCCUGUCCGAGCGUCAUUUCAACCCCCCAGACGAAAAUUCUGGCGUUGGGGCCACCGCGGCAAGGCGGCGCCCCGAAAGCGAGCGGCGGGACCACUGGCACCCCUGGCGUAGUAACUUACAAUCGCCUAGGGCCUUAGUUGCUGGCGUCGUCCCUGCCCCUAACGUACCUAAACAAUACAUUUAAGAGGUUGACCUCGGAUCAGGUAGGGAUACCCGCUGA